rnacentral:rRNA from 1 species
UACGAAGGGGGCUAGCGUUGCUCGGAAUUACUGGGCGUAAAGCGCACGUAGGCGGCUCUUUAAGUCGGGGGUGAAAUCCUGGAGCUCAACUCCAGAACUGCCUUCGAUACUGAAGAGCUUGAGUCCGGGAGAGGGAUGCGGAAUUCCAGGUGUAGCGGUGAAAUGCGUAGAUAUCGGGAGGAACACCAGUGGCGAAGGCGGUUACCUGGAGCUUUGCUGACGCUGAUGCGCGAAAGCGUGGGGAGCGAUCCGG